GGACGGGUGACAUAUCACUGGUGUAACCUGCCUGUAACAUUGGGAUAACUCCGGGAAACCGGGGCUAAUACCGGAUGGUUGUUUGAACCGCAUGGUUCAAACAUAACGGUUGGCUUUGCCUCCCCUUUAGUUGGGAACUGCGGUCCAAUUUGAAAAUGGUGAGGGGGGAGUGGCUCAACGCCACGAUUCCUAUCCCAUUUGAUAGGGUGAUUGGCCCCCGUGGGACUGCCACGUCGUCCAGACUCUGAUGGUAGGGACGUCUACGGAACCUUCCCGCCGUGUAGUAACGCUGACGGAAUUACGCCGCGUGAGUGAAGGAGGGUUACCGAUCAUAAAGGUCUGUUGUUAUGGAGGAACUUAUACCGUUCUCAUAGGACGGUACC
rnacentral:rRNA from 1 species